rnacentral:rRNA from 1 species
GCAGCCGCGGUAAUACAUAGGGGGCAAGCGUUGUCCGGAAUCACUGGGCGUAAAGGGAGCGUAGGCGGAAAUUUAAGUUAAGUGUGAAAGCCUGGGGCUUAACUCCAGAAAUGCACUUAAUACUGGAUAUCUAGAGUGUGGGAGAGGUAAGUGGAAUUCCUAGUGUAGCGGUAGAAUGCGUAGAGAUUAGGAGGAACACCAGAGGCGAAGGCGGCUUACUGGACCACAACUGACGCUGAGGCUCGAAAGCGUGGGGAGCAAACAGGAUUAGAUACCCC